UACGUAGGGUGCAAGCGUUAAUCGGAAUUACUGGGCGUAAAGCGUGCGCAGGCGGUUAUGUAAGACAGUUGUGAAAUCCCCGGGCUCAACCUGGGAACUGCAUUUGUGACUGCACGGCUAGAGUGUGUCAGAGGGGGUAGAAAUUCCACGUGUAGCAGUGAAAUGCGUAGAGAUGUGGAGGAAUACCGAUGGCGAAGGCAGCCUCCUGGGCCAACACUGACGCUCAUGCACGAAAGCGUGGGGAGCAAACAGG
rnacentral:rRNA from 1 species